GACGAACGCUGGCGGCGUGCCUAACACAUGCAAGUCGAACGAAGCUCUGCGAUACAAGACUUCGGUCAAGUUGAACGGAUGACUUAGUGGCGGACGGGUGAGUAACGCGUGAGGAACCUGCCUUUCAGUGGGGGACAACAGUUGGAAACGACUGCUAAUACCGCAUAAUGUAUUCUGACCGCAUGAUCGGAAUACCAAAGAUUUAUUGCUGAAAGAUGGCCUCGCGUCUGAUUAGAUAGUUGGUGAGGUAACGGCCCACCAAGUCAACGAUCAGUAGCCGGACUGAGAGGUUGAACGGCCACAUUGGGACUGAGAUACGGCCCAGACUCCUACGGGAGGCAGCAGUGGGGAAUAUUGGGCAAUGGGGGAAACCCUGACCCAGCAACGCCGCGUGAAGGAAGAAGGCUUUCGGGUUGUAAACUUCUUUUACCAGGGACGAAGGACGUGACGGUACCUGGAGAAAAGCCACGGCUAACUACGUG
rnacentral:rRNA from 1 species